rnacentral:sRNA from 1 species
AAAGAGCAGCCAAUGCUCUUACCUGAUGAGUCAUAUUUGCAUCCCUCUCUCUCUUUAUUCUAAACCCCCUUUCUGUCCUUUGCAUUCAACUCUUCAUCUUGAAGUUAUUUUUUAUUGCAUUCUUACCAGCAUUUCAGUGUGGAGGUUCGAGUCUGCUACACUCAAGCAAGCUAUGGGAAUUAACUGAUUGGUCUUUAAAAAAAAUGUCUGCGACAUCUGAGUGUAUCUUUCCACCUCAGACCUUUCAUUUUUGUUUGGGUUCCUAGGUUUCCUGCUGUUGGACGGGUAGAUUUUCUCUACUGAUAACUUACUUUGAAGCUCUGAUGUUCUGAUCUCUUCUAGAAACCUCUUCCUUCAGGUGGAAGCAAACUAGAUUUGUUAUACACACACAUACUCCCGGACCCCACAGUCUGUCAAGCUCAAGAGUCCAGGGAGCAAAUCUGGAUGCUAUUCCCAGUGCAUAAGGUCCUGGGUAUGCUGCUCCAGUUUUCUGAAACGUUGUGAUGUCUCAGCCUUCCCACCCAUGGCUGGGAUGGAAACAUAUGCAGCUGGAAAUCCUGGGCAUGCUUUCCAAUACAUCCUAGGGCCUUGCUUCCUGCCACUUCUAUUUGGCCGGACAGCUUGCUCUAGCCACAGACAUUCCCUGAGCGGCUGUCUGAGUUAACAUCUGAGCUUGGCCAGCACUAGUGCAGCUGUGGGCUCUGGCAUGGCUGCUCGUGAGUAAAUUCCUUCGUAAGCCCCACAGAGCUGCCUUGAUUUCUCCUUUGGGUGUGAUUAUCUGAGAGCAAGGCCAGCCCCAUAGGUUUAAACUGCGGCCACCCUGGGUCCCACAGGCAAAGGCUCCUCUUCUUGGAUUAGUGUUCUGAUACUGCUCUAUUGAAAUCUCAAACCGCUCAUAGGUAAAAUCUUGGUUUAACCCAGGCCUCAGAAUACAAAUAGCUUCCUAUAAGGAGGGACAGAGAGCAACACUGGCCCUUGAGCAAAUAGGCGAGGCUUACCAAGCCAGCCUCUUGGGAGUUCAGAGCAAAGAGCACCACAAGUAAUUGUUUCAGAAUAUCUUUUCAGAUGUAGAACCAUAUCCUCUAGAAUUUAUUCUUCCAGGAAGUUUCCCACACAUCUAGAUAGAGGUUUUUAGAGCUUCCUUUAAAAGAGCUAUCAUGUUAAUGAUCUAUAUCCGCCUAUGGGACUACUGAAGUUUGAACUGUGGCUUAUAUGGCUUCAGAGCCUGAAGUUUUAUAUUUUCAUUAAGUUCACUUAUCUUAUUGUUGUUUUUGAAGGUUUUAUUUUUAAUUGUGAGUCUGUGUGCUGGGGGAGGUAUAUGCAAGUGAGUGUAAUUGCUUAUGGAUGUCAAAAGAGGGCGUCUGAUUCUCUUGGAGUUAAGUUACAGGCAGCUGUGGUCUGAUGUGGGUCCUCUUCAUGAGCAGCAAGCAGUCUUAACUCCAGCCCCAAGUUUGUUUCAAAUGUAAAUACCUCCUUGGAGCUAAUUGUUACCUUGAUGGACAGUGUAACUGAACAGUCGGGUUCUGACCUCUCCUUUGAUUUCAUGUUUCUUUGGUUUCACAGUAAGACUUAGACAUUGCCCAGAAGGAUUUCUGAAAUUCAAAUUUAUUAAUAGCUAAUCUAAAGGGUACAGUUCUUGGUGUCUUUUCUUAAGUACGCCCAUGAAAUGUAGGUCGUGUAACUCACUGCUAGAGCCCGAGAGGAGAUUGAAAAACAGAUGAACUACUGAAAGACUGCCCCACCCAAUUCCAAGAGGAAGGAAAAACGAACACAGAGCAGACACAAGAAGGCCAGAGGCCAGAUUCUUGGCAAUGAGGGAGAUGAGGAGGCGGCAGUGGGAGGCAAGCUGACAGAUGAGCAUGACCCAUUGUCACCACGGAGCUCACAAGACUGGGUAUUGCACAGGUGAUCCAGUGAGUCCCCAGUGUUCUGACAGACCCAGGAGUUUUGAGAGCACACAGGUACCUCAGAUGGCUCCGGACAUAAGCAAGAGUUAGCUGAGUGGGAACAUUCAGAUAACCAGGACCAUGGUAAUUUCCUCAAAAGUCCAGACUGGGAAAAUAACACUCCAGUGACCAUCAAUUCAGAGAGUAGAAAAUCUGACAAAUGAGGAUCCAGGCAAUACCAUCCCCCACUGCCACGUUCCUUCUCAACGUAUUCCAAGCCCAGUAUACACAGAAGCUAGCUGGGAAGAGAACAAAGGGAUGGAGAUAAAAUAUAAACUAACAACAUUCACUUAAAGAGAUCACGUGACUCACUCAAUUGAACUAAGUUUAAAACUCCAGGCUUCCCUUCUAGGCUCCCCAUAGAUGAGCAGUGGUACGAUGGAAACAUGAAGAUUUCCCUGGGUAACUGAACACAGGACUGUGGUGGGGUCUUUGUGACUUUGGCUAAACUGGGAUGGCUUGGCUGAGGAGGAUAAGUGCUCAGUUGAUUCUAGAGACCAUCAUGACAGAACUGGCCACUUGACUCCAUAGAUGUCUUCUCUUUGUGGAUACUCAAAACUAGCAAGAAAGGACAUUUUAAGCCCUCCUGGAAGGGACUUUCUUUUGUCACUAAUCUGGAUUAGAACAGGUUUUGAGAUCAAUAGGCAAGGAGUCAUUUGUCAGGCUAAGGUCUCAUUCCCUCAUGCCUAAUGAAUCAUAUCCGGAAUCAAGUAAGUAAGACAUACUUGGACAAAAUCCUAAUAUAGAUAUGUAUCUAGGUCUAGCAUCCUAUCGGUCUCUUGCUUAUACAAUCCUCUGUGGGCUACACCACCACCUGCAGGCCAGCCCUAAAAAGUACAUGUCCAAGAAAAUGGCGGUGUUCCUGGACUAAGCUGCCCGGCUGAAAUAGCUGCAUUGUGCUUUGUUUGUGCUUUGUUCAGAGUCCUGGGGUCAGGGCCCACGCCACUCAUUAUCAUAUGGUUCAACUCCUAGAGGUUAGUUCUUCACUCAUUUCUUCUCCUUGGCUUGCUCAGUAGAAAAAGGGUUUUCUUGGUUCUCAGGUGCAAAUGCGACCUUCUAGCCAGCCUUGUAUAUAGUUCCUGCAGUCUUCUGUAAUCUACCCAACCCAGCCCAGUCCACUUGACUGUCUCCAGCCACUGAGGUGAGAACAUUUUGUCCCAGGGGGACAGACCUGAUGACUUUACCCAUGGCUUUCCUUCUCUAGGAAACUGCCUUUUGGAAACGUUUCAUUCCCCACCCUCUUGAGAACAAGAUCAUUUGUCUACCAAGCUGGUGUGGUUAACUAGAUGCAGAAAUUCAGACCAAUCAUCUUCCUGGAGCACUUUGGAUUUAGCAUUUCCUAGGCAAUCAGAUGCUGCAGAAUCCUGAGCGGAGGAGGCGACAACGAAGGCACCACUUUUGGCAACCACCUGCUGGGAAUAUGAGGAGGACAUUCCUUCCUAUCCUGGUCUUCACAAAGGGCGCACUGGGCCAGGCAGGGUCUCCCGUGUACAUGGGCUUGUAUGCCAUAUAGGUCUAAGUACACACAAGCUGAGCUACAGGAUAAAUAAAGCCAGUCACCGCCGUGGGGAAAACUGGGACAGAUAAGUUUGGGGGAGAAAACCAAACUCUAUUUUGAAAAUGUUUGGUUUGAAAUAUUAGUUAUCAGAUGAAAACGUUAGGUAGAAAGAUUUGCUAAGUCUACAGCUUGGGGCAAAAUGUCAGGACUGCAGAACAUAGAUCUGGGAGUUAUUGACAAAGAGAUAGAAGUUAAAGCCAUGGGAUAAGAUCUCCUACAAAGAGAGCAUGUAUAUCUAAAGGACAGGAGUUUAAAUGACUCAAAAAUUGGGCUAAAAGAAGGGAGGUGGUAGACUGCUAAGAAAGCAAUGAGGUACAGCAAAGCCAAACCCGGGUGCGAUCACCAAGAAGCCAAUAAGAGACUUGCUCGGAUGGUGAGCCAUCUGAGUAGUGGGUAGAGAGAGAAGAGCAUAGAUCUUAGGGAGAGCAUAUUUAAGAUAAAAUAAAAUGGGUGGAUGAAGAGACAGGUGAAUACACAGAUGAUGGAAGAUGGGUGGAGAAAAGAGACAGAUGCUGGAUAAGCGACAGAUAGGUAGCUGAUUAAGUGAAUGACUUGGAAGAGAACUGUAGAGACACUGGAGAGUAUGAGCCCCGGAAAGUCUUUCCAUAGUGAGAGGGGAUCCAGGACACAAGUGGCAAGGUCCAAGAGGCCCUGGCAUCCUGGGUGGAAAGGGAAAUAUUAAUAAAUGUGAUGACGCGAAACAUUACAGUUGUCUUCUGGUUGCUUCUGCUUCCGUAAUAAAAGGAGAGAUGGGUUUGUUUUUGCCAGUUUCUGUGAGCCUUGGACUGAAACCUUUUCCUAAUUGUAACAUCCUUCACUUUAUCCAGAAGCUGAGCUAGAAGAGCCCAGUUGUCAGGGCUUCUGGAGGUCAACUGGAUGGGGAGAUGUGCCGUGCCCCAACUCUGGCUGAGAACUCACCCAAACUGCACAACUACAGGAUACAGGCAGUGGAAGAACGGCAGACAGAAUUCAGAAUCAGGCCACAAGAACCAGUCAAGUUGUUUAAGCAGUGACGCUUGGGUAUAGGAAGUCUGAAAUCCAUGUGAUUUUUGCUUCUCUGGUGUGAAGACAGCUUGGCAAGAGAUCCUGAUGCAAAAAUGUGACCUUUUAAAACUGAAAUUCAUCUAGAAUUUUCUUCUGGAGAUGAAGAAGUCCUAUGCAACCUGUAACAGCCGCCCCCAGCUCAUUGUUGCAGAAGCUGCGAGUCUGUAUUCGGAGACCAGAUCCAGUGCUGAAGAAGCAAUCACAGGCAUCUCCACAGCUUGACCAUGCUGCUGUCAGCCAGGAGAGGAUGGCGGCCAGGUCCUGCUUUCCCUCAAACCAUACCAUUUGCUUUUAAAUGAAUACAUUUGUUGUAUUUUAGCCCAUUUGGCUGAAUUGUAUUAAAAACAAAUUUAUCUUUCAAACCUUUUACCCUUUAAGAAAUGGAAAUUCAACUAUUUAAUCUAGUCCAUAGGUAAAAUAAUAUAUGGUCUGAUACAUUUGUGUUUAAGGGUCCCCCCUAUAUUUAAAAAACUGUUUGAAUAUUAUCAGGAAAAUUUCUUCUCUGUGGCUUUAAAAUAAAUGUCACUGACCUACUCUUAU